rnacentral:rRNA from 1 species
CCUACGGGAUGCUGCAGUGAGGAAUAUUGGUCAAUGGACGAGAGUCUGAACCAGCCAAGUCGCGUGAAGGAUGACUGCCCUAUGGAUUGUAAACUUCUUUUAUAUGGGAAUAAACUGUUCCACGUGUGGGAUUUUGUAUGUACCAUAUGAAUAAGGAUCGGCUAACUCCGUGCCAGCAGCCGCGGUAAUACGGAGGAUCCGAGCGUUAUCCGUAUUUAUUGGGUUUAAAGGGAGCGUAGGUGGAUUGUUAAGUCAGUUGUGAAAGUUUGGGGCUCAACCGUAAAAUUGCAGUUGAAACUGGGAGUCUUGAGGACGGUAGAGGUGGGCGGAAUUCGUGGUGGAGCGGUGAAAUGCUUAGAUAUCACGAAGAACUCCGAUUGCGAAGGCAGCUCACUGGACUGCAACUGACACUGAGGCUCGAAAGUGUGGGUAUCAAACAGGAUUAGAUACCCCUGUAGUC